AUUGAACGCUGGCGGCAUGCCUUACACAUGCAAGUCGAACGGUAACAGGUCUUCGGAUGCUGACGAGUGGCGAACGGGUGAGUAAUACAUCGGAACGUGCCCAGUCGUGGGGGAUAACGCAGCGAAAGCUGUGCUAAUACCGCAUACGAUCUAAGGAUGAAAGCGGGGGAUCGCAAGACCUCGCGCGAUUGGAGCGGCCGAUGGCAGAUUAGGUAGUUGGUGGGGUAAAAGCUUACCAAGCCUGCGAUCUGUAGCUGGUCUGAGAGGACGACCAGCCACACUGGAACUGAGACACGGUCCAGACUCCUACGGGAGGCAGCAGUGGGGAAUUUUGGACAAUGGGCGAAAGCCUGAUCCAGCCAUGCCGCGUGCAGGAUGAAGGCCUUCGGGUUGUAAACUGCUUUUGUACGGAACGAAACGGCGUCUUCUAAUAAAGGGCGCUAAUGACGGUACCGUAAGAAUAAGCACCGGCUAACUACGUGCCAGCCGCCGCCGUAAUAC
rnacentral:rRNA from 1 species